rnacentral:rRNA from 1 species
CAGCCGCCACGGUAAUACAGAGGGUGCGAGCGUUAAUCGGAUUUACUGGGCGUAAAGCGUGCGUAGGCGGCUUUUUAAGUCGGAUGUGAAAUCCCUGAGCUUAACUUAGGAAUUGCAUUCGAUACUGGGAAGCUAGAGUAUGGGAGAGGAUGGUAGAAUUCCAGGUGUAGCGGUGAAAUGCGUAGAGAUCCGGAGGAAUACCGAUGGCGAAGGCAGCCAUCUGGCCUAAUACUGACGCUGAGGUACGAAAGCAUGGGGAGCAAACAGGAUUAGAUACCCCUGUAGUCCCUGUCUCUUAUAA